CAACCUGCCGUCUACUCUUGGACAGCCUUCUGAAAGGAAGAUUAAUACAAGAUGGCAUCAUGAGUCCGCAUGUUCACAUGAUUAAAGGUAUUCCGGUAGACGAUGGGGAUGCGUUCCAUUAGAUAGUAGGUGGGGUAACGGCCCACCUAGUCUUCGAUGGAUAGGGGUUCUGAGAGGAAGGUCCCCCACAUUGGAACUGAGACACGGUCCAAACUCCUACGGGAGGCAGCAGUGAGGAAUAUUGGUCAAUGGGCGAGAGCCUGAACCAGCCAAGUAGCGUGAAGGAUGACUGCCCUAUGGGUUGUAAACUUCUUUUAUAAAGGAAUAAAGUCGGGUAUGUAUACCCGUUUGCAUGUACUUUGUGAAUAAGGAUCGGCUAACUCCGUGCCAGCAGCCGCGGUAAUACGGAGGAUCCGAGCGUUAUCCUGAUUUAUUGGGUUUAAAGGGAGCGUAGAUGGAUGUUUAAGUCAGUUGUGAAGGUUUGCGGCUCAACCGUAAAAUUGCAGUUGAUACUGGAUAUCUUGAGUGCAGUUGAGGCAGGCGGAAUUCGUGGUGUAGCGGUGAAAUGCUUAGAUAUCACGAAGAACUCCGAUUG
rnacentral:rRNA from 1 species